UACGUAGGGUGCGAGCGUUAAUCGGAAUUACUGGGCGUAAAGCGUGCGCAGGCGGUUCGUUAAGUCAGAUGUGAAAGCCCCGGGCUCAACCUGGGAACUGCAUUUGAAACUGGCGGGCUUGAGUGUGGCAGAGGGGGGUGGAAUUCCGGGUGUAGCGGUGAAAUGCGUAGAUAUCCGGAGGAACACCGGUGGCGAAGGCGGCUUCCUGGACCGACACUGACGCUGAGGCGCGAAAGCCAGGGGAGCAAACGGG
rnacentral:rRNA from 1 species